AUUGAACGCUGGCGGCAGGCCUAACACAUGCAAGUCGAACGAGUGGCGGACGGGUGAGUAAUGUCUGGGAAACUGCCCGAUGGAGGGGGAUAACUACUGGAAACGGUAGCUAAUACCGCAUACCAUCGGAUGUGCCCAGAUGGGAUUAGCUAGUAGGUGGGGUAACGGCUCACCUAGGCGUCGAUCCCUAGCUGGUCUGAGAAGAUGACCAGGCACACUGGAACUGAGACAGGGACCAGACGCCUACGUGAUGAAGCAGUGGGGAAUAUUGCACAAUGGGCGCAAGUCUGAUGCAGCCAUGCCGUGUGGAUGAAGAAGGCGUUCGGGUUGUAAAGUACUUUCAGCGAGGAGGCGUUACUCGCAGAAGAAGCACCGGCUAACUCCGUGCCAGCAGCCGCGGUAAUAC
rnacentral:rRNA from 1 species